ensembl:lincRNA
UGUGUGUUAGCCAGCUCUUUGUCACUGAGACCAAAACACCUCAUACAUACAACUUAAAGAAGGAAAGUUUUAGUUUGGUUCACAGUUCCAGGAGUUUCAGUCCAUGAGUCCGUGGUUGUAUGGUUCUAAGGCACAAACAUUGUGGCAGAAGAGCAUCGCCAAGGAAAUCUACUAGUAUCACAGCAUUCAGGAAGAGAGUAAAAUAAAGAACCAAUAGGAAAUGGCAGAAGAUUGGAGACUUUUUUUAGUACUAGGGAUCGAACUCAGGAUCUUGAGCUUGUAAGGCAGGUGGCGGCAUGGCUGAGCUACAUUCCCGGCCUCAGAGACAUUUUCUUCCAAGGCAAGCCCCCAGUGACUCACUGGCUCCAACUAUGCCUAGCUGACAGCCCGGUCAUCUAUAAGCUCAUCAGUGGGGUAAUUCACUGAUGAUGUUGUCAGCCUCACUGUCCAACCUGUGCCUGUCUUGAUCCAGUCAAGAUGAUAAAGCUAACCACUCCAGGGAGGGAAAAUGCUGUCCAAAAACCUCAAAGGUCCUGAAGGGAGGUCUCAAGGUUGAAACCUAAGGCCUCCCUUCAAUGGCUAUGCUCUCUUCCCCUGUGUGCACACGUCUUGGAGAAGGACAACACCUAACUGCCAAAGCAUCUUCGUAUGCACAGCGUUGGUUAGUGGAACAUGAAUAGGACUUCGGCAGGCUUUGAGUGGGAAAAGGACUGCAGAAUGUCUCCUCCCCGGGCUCCUCAGCCCUGACAGCCUCCCCUUUUAUUCACAGCAUCUGCACCCAGCUCUGUCUUCCUGCACCAGGGGAAGAGCUGGAGAGGACCAGUGACCAGGACAAAGAGGACAAGAAGGCUGCUGUGUGAUUCUCCUCUAACGUAUGAGCCAGAGCAUGGUGCCAGUCUACAGGUGUUUCCGUUCCUGGAAGAAGGGCACUACCUGCAGCGUGUGAGUCACACUCCUGGGCAACGCAGUGCAGAAGCAGCCUCAAUAGUGCGGCCCCAUCUGUCCCGGAGCCCCCUCGAAGAGCUCCAUCUCACCCCAGGUUGGAAAGACAGUAGAUAAUUCACCUCUUCCAGUCACCUUCCCUUGCUGUGUUCACAGAGCAGGUUGUCCCAGAGCCAGACCAAUCAGUUUGUUGGAUGGGUGGACGCUCAGUCCCAGCUCCAGACCAGAGUGGAUUGAAAGUUCUGGGAGGAGUCUAGCAAGCUGUGAUUCAUGGAGCCCUUCAGGGUGUAUGGAUGCUGGGCAGAGCCUGAGAACCAGGGUGGGCCACAUGCUGAGCUACAGCAUCCCCAGCAGCUGAUGCUAACCCAGGCUGACUGAGUCCAGGGCCCUGAGCCCACAGCUGAGCUAAGCACUCUGUGCCUUCUGUCUGCACGGUGCUCUCGCCUCACCCGCACACUGGAAUCAGUGAGGAUUCUCUGAAAAGUACUGGCUCUCAGGGCCAACUCCAGACAAACACAAUCUAGACGGCCUGGAAGGGAUCUAAGAAAUAGGUAUUUUAAAAAGACCUGCCAGUUGAUUCUGGUGCCCAGGGAGGGUCGGGAAGCACCCUUCUAGCCCCACCUCUGGCACUUUGUAGUCCUGUUACUGGCCGGUUCUAACGGCCCCACCCUUGACAUCUGCAUCUGCCGAAUGGGGUGAUGACUCCCACCCUCUCUCCUCCCAAGGUUGUCAUGUGGAGGAAUGAAGCAAAAAAUACGAGGUCUUACUGUCACUGCUCUUAACACUGUAAGAAAGAUGGGCUUGAGCCCCUAGCUCCAGUACAGUGUGAAGGUCUUGCUAAACCAACAUUACAGGAGGCCGUUGUUUUGGACUAAGUUUUUGUGAGAUGCAAGCUAAAACUCAAAGUGAAGUCACUCGUUCUAAAGCUCACCAAGCUAAAACUAAGCUGUUGAUCUGGCCUUGCAAGAAAUCAGGAUUAAAGUGAUAACAGUUAAAUUUCCCAAAUAGCUCAGGUUCAACAAAUAGUGAAGUUCCCUCUGCUUGAGGCCUUAUACAUGAGAAGAAACCUAGCAUCACCUGAUAUUAACUAAUCGUUUAUUUUCCUAUUCUGUCUUACACAGAAAGUAACUGUAAACCACCAACUGGCUUUUUGUUCCCUAUCCUGCUUUCUGUAACCCUCUGUUUAUAAAAUCAACCUCCUUUGUUUCGCCCCU